AAGAGGAAAAUUACUGGAAACAAGAAGGCAUAAUGACUUAGGGGAAAACCUUCGAAGCUGUGACUGUCCGUUUCCUGUCUUGUGCAAACCCUAACUGACCAAAUGAUGAUGAUGAUGAUGAUUUUUUUUUUUUGGAGGGUGGCAGCAACGGAAAGCCUCCAGCCUCCACAUUUGCCAAGCUAACUUGCAGCAAGAGCUGUCUAAUUUAGGGGGUGGGGACUAGGGUGCUUCCUUAAACAGCCAGGAGAGCGCGAGAGAUUGGGCACAGGAGGGUGCGUUUCCCCCUGUCAUCCGUGGCCGCGGCGUCAGGGCAUCCGAAAGGCAGCCGCUCGCAUUCUGGAUGUGUCAUUAACACGUGGGGCUGCGCCGGGCGAACUUUCGAAGGAUAUUUGUCUCCAACUUGGACGGAAACUCCGCGGAAUCGGAAAUGUUUCUGAAUGGUGCAAGGAUCCAGUCGCCUCUUUCUGGUUUGGCAAAGCGGAUCCGUUUCAGCUCCCUCUG
rnacentral:lncRNA from 1 species